rnacentral:rRNA from 1 species
AUGAAGAAAGACAACAAGCAUGGAAUCAUUAGUCUUAACCUGCAGCAUUUGCUUCUGAUAGAUGAGCCUUUCAUUCUGGCUAGCCAAGUCUCUCAAGUAUUUUUUGUCAAGGACAAUCUUAUAAAAGGAUGGCACGCAGUCGUGAAAAAUCCAGCACGUCAUGCUUAUAGUGUACCACAUGGACGGUCUGAUGAUAAAGCCUCUGAAGCUGAACCUGACAAUGGCGAUGAAGACGACUUGCUUCAAAAUUUGACAACAUCAUGUAGAAAGAGAACAACAUGA